rnacentral:snRNA from 1 species
AGCUUUGCACAGUGGCAAUAAUGUGGCCAAUGAGAUUUAACCGGGUGCAAUUAUUGCUAAUUGAAAACUCUUUUCUCAAUCCUAGAAUGCUUAGUAUAAAAUAGGGUUCAAAUUCCCAGAAAUAUGG